rnacentral:rRNA from 1 species
UACGUAGGGGGCAAGCGUUGUCCGGAAUCAUUGGGCGUAAAGCGCGUGUAGGCGGUUCGAUAAGUCUGCUGUGAAAGUCCAGGGCUCAACCCUGGGAUGCCGGUGGAUACUGUUGGGCUUGAGUACGGAAGAGGCGAGUGGAAUUCCUGGUGUAGCGGUGAAAUGCGCAGAUAUCAGGAGGAACACCAAUUGCGAAGGCAGCUCGCUGGGACGUUACUGACGCUGAGACGCGAAAGCGUGGGGAGCAAACAGG